GACGAACGCUGGCGGCGUGCUUAACACAUGCAAGUCGAACGGAAAGGCCCUGCUUUUGUGGGGUGCUCGAGUGGCGAACGGGUGAGUAACACGUGAGUAACCUGCCCUUGACUUUGGGAUAACUUCAGGAAACUGGGGCUAAUACCGGAUAGGAGCUCCUGCUGCAUGGUGGGGGUUGGAAAGUUUCGGCGGUUGGGGAUGGACUCGCGGCUUAUCAGCUUGUUGGUGGGGUAGUGGCUUACCAAGGCUUUGACGGGUAGCCGGCCUGAGAGGGUGACCGGCGACAUGGGGACUGAGAGACGGCCCAGACUCCUACGGGAGGCAGCAGUGGGGAAUAUUGCACAAUGGGGGGAAGCCUGAUGCAGCAACGCCGCGUGCGGGAUGACGGCCUUCGGGUUGUAAACCGCUUUCGCCUGUGACGAAGCGUGAGUGACGGUAAUGGGUAAAGAAGCACCGGCUAACUACGUG
rnacentral:rRNA from 1 species